CAACCUGGAGGAAUUGGUAGUAAAUGGCACAGAUAUGUUGGGGAUAUUGAAUGGUUAUUGUCAAGAAAAUAUCUUUCAUAAAGUUAAACUACUUCGUUUACAAUGCUUCGAUGAAACUCCAACUAUUUUUCUGAAUGAUUUCCAUACAAUAUUUCUUAGUCUUGAAACAUUUCAAGUGCGUAAUAGUUCUUUUGCAACAUUGUUCCCCACUAAAGGAACCACUGAUCAUCUCAGUAUGCAACUUUCAAAGCAAAUAAGAAAGUUGUGGCUUUUUGAAUUGGAAAAGCUCAAGCACGUUUGGCAGGUAGACUUUCCAUUGGAUCAUCUUCUGUUCUAAUAUCUUUCACAAGUUUAACCUAUUUGAAAGUGGACAAUUGCAAAGAGUUGAUCUAUUUGAUAACAUAUUCAACAGCUAAAUGCCUAGUUCAACUCAAAACAUUAAUAAUAAUGAAUUGUGAGAAGAUGUUAGAUGUUGUGAAGAUUGAUGAAGAAAAAGCAGAGGAAAACAUCGUAUUUGAAAACUUGGAAUACUUGAAAUUUACUUCGUUGUCAAGUUUGAGAAGCUUCUUCUAUGGGAAACAAACAUUCAUAUUCCCAUCUUUGCUUUUUUUCAUUGUUAAAGGAUGUCCUCAAAUGAAGAUCUUCUCAUCUGCACUAAUAGUAGCACCAUACCUCGCAACAAUUGAGGUGGAAGAAGAAAACAUGCGAUGGAAAGGUGAUCUUAACACAACUAUUGAACAAAUGUUCAUAGAAAAGGCGCAAGAAACAUGUGAGAAGUAGUGUCAAGGAGCUAUUUAUAUUGGUGUUUGGAAGACUUUCUUUUAUUUUCUAUCCAUGUUGUUAUUUGAUUGGCUUGCAUGUUAAGGACAUUUUAUUGUAAUUUUAUUCUCAUUGUUGUGGUAGGUUACGUCGAGGGAUUCUCUUACUAUGUUAUUACCUAUUUGUUUAAUUGUCAAAUUCAACCAUGACAUUUUAGGGGUGUUUCUACAUGUUUGAU